CUGUCUGCCGCCGUAGCAGGGGUUGGUGUCCUCACCCCAGGCCUUGCCCCGGGACAUGACAGGCCUCAGCAUACAGACCGGGUGUGGGAAGGCCUGUCCCUGCUGCCCGAGGACCAAGACAUCACCCCUGUCCUAGAGAUGGUGCCCCCAGAGGCCUCAUCAUCAUAGGCUGAGGCCAGGAUGCUGGCCCAGAACCGGAGACACCUGAUUUCAAGCCUGGCUGUGCUGCUCCCCAGCUAUAUGACCUUGGGCAACCACUUCCCCUCUCUGAGCCUCCAUUUCCUCCUCUAAGAGAAGCUAAUAAUAGCAGUUUGGGGGGGAUGUGGUGGUGAUUCAGAGAGGCAGUGGGGUGUAGGCAGUCUGGUCUACCCCGUGCCCAGGGAGGAAGUGCAAAGAGUGGCGUGGUGCCUGCCACUGCAGAUGUCUCUGCAGUCACCGCUGGCUGACUCUUGGACAUUCCAAAAAAUGCUCCAGGAUCCAGCUGAGGAAUCCCAGCUUCCCCUGGGAACCCGAAACGCAAGCCUAACUUGAAGCAGAGACUGCUAAGUGACAUCUCCCUGCGUCCUGAGAGCGCCCUGUGAAUUCAGUGGCCACUUACAGAUGAGGAUACAGGUUUGGAGACACCAGUUCUCUCGCCCAAGUCCACGCAGAGGCUGGCGACAGAGCUGGGACUAAAACCAGGCAGCCGGACACCAGAGUCCCUGGACCAGUCCAGCAGCGGCAACUUGGAGAAGCCCCGGGGGCCUGCUCCCCUGAGCCAGUUUUCCCUGGCUCUCUCACACACCGGGCUGGGAGAAGGCCGCAAGGGACCCAGACUCAGCCCUGGCCUUGGGGAGAGAGCGGUCUGGAGCAGGACCUCCAGAGGUCACAGCCCCGGGAGGAGGGAGGCGUCUGCAGGCGGGCUUGGGGACCCAGGCCGCAGAUGGUGGUGUGUUUCCAGAAAACCCAUGGGGUUCUCUGAGAAGGGCAUUUCAGACCCCUCAGAGGAAGGGGUCUGGGGAAGUUUGCACAAGAAAAGAGAACGCACGGGUCCCAGAGCGGGCAGUCAUGGGUGGUCUGGCCAUGGCGAAGGGGGAGCAGAGACAGCCCAGCUGGGAGCCCGGGCCGCACCGCCCUAUGCAGACUGCUGGUGUGGAGCACAGCCCUGGGACGCCCCGACACCCUUCUCUGGGCCUGGGCCCUGGUCCUGGAGUCAGAGAAGCUUCAAACCAGGACCAGCCUCUUAGAUUGCCUGAGCCUAAUAAAUAAUAAUAGCAGUAGUCAUAAUCGUAAUAAGAAUAAUCUAGCAGCAUGAAACAAGUAUUUGCUGUUGGGUGUCUGAAAUCAUUUGCAGCACUUCCCGCAUUAUCCUCACAACCGCCCCAGGAUACACCGUCACUACGUCGGGUUCAGUGUAACGGAGCUGAGGCUCGGAGAAGCCCAGUGAUUACCGGAGGACUCAGCUGGUGAGAAGCAGAGCUGGGACUGGGAUUCAGGCCUCGACCCCAGAGUCUAUGUUUUUAACUGGUACGGGAUACAGACCCAUUCUCAUAAGCACCAUCACCAACCUGGAACAAUCUUCAACAUUUUCUGAACUCGAAUUUUUAAGACUCUGUAAAUACUUAUUUUACAUUUUGGUUCUAAAUUGCUUUCUCUUUCCUCAUCUGCAUUUUAGAAAGUGUUUUCUCUUUCUUGACGUCAAUGUGGCUGUUAUUAUUGAGUUGCUACUAAGAGCUACUACUUACUUAGAGCCACACUGGGCUAAAUUGUGGGCCGAGCAGCUUUCUAUCAACCCGCCCUAGGAGCGAGAUCCUAUUGCCCUCUUUUUACAGACAAGGAAACCAAGGUUCAGAAGGAAGUCAUUUGCUCAGAGCAGGCUUCAUCACAAGUCUCCCUCCAUGGCUUUAAGGCCUUUUGUGGCUCCCUCUUCCCAUCGGCCUGACAUUCACAACCCAGACACUGCUGAUCUCUCUCGGGACUCCUUCAGACGUCAAGUGCUCCCUGAGCUACUGAAUUCUUACAAGGUCUUAUCAUCCUGGAUUGUGAUGGCUUCCGGAAGAUUUGCAAGGGCCGUGUCCAAUGGCCAACACAAGCCCGGACACAGAAUAGGAACUCAGGAAAUAAAAGAAAGAAUCUGGCUUUGUUCCAUUUCUCAGGAGAAUACAGAGCCUCAGAAUUAGGAGCCAAUGUACAUUGUGAUAUAUUUUAGGUAUCAUGCUCAUUUCAUGUAUAUCUCACAGCAGGCUACAGGUUCUUGGGCAGAUAUUUUUGCAAUUAGUAUACUCAAUAUUCAGAUGUGGAAACUGAGGUCAGAGCCCCACAUCAUACAGGGAAGACUUCCCUGUGGUCCCAAGGCAGGACUCUGGAGGCCUGACUAUGGAAACCUUAACCCAGGGGCUAUUGGGAAAAGUCUCCAGGUGAACCCCACCCCAGAAGGCCAAUAACCCCCAACACACCAGGAGGUGGAAGGACCAGGAGUGUGACAACUCUUGUUUUAUGAGUUUUUGCAGCAGUGUCUCAAGAAUAUUCGCAGGAGGCUGAAUGGCAGAGGAAAUAAGAUCCUGAAUUUGAACCACCAGCCUGGGCUGACUUGCUGGAAGAUGAGGAGCCACAGGGAACAGAGAUGAGCCAUCUAGCUGAGGUAGCCAUGCCCUGGCUGCCCCGUAGAUUUGUAAGAAAUAAUAAAUG